ensembl:lncRNA
CUGUACUGUCGCCUAUUUUCUCAUUAUUCCUGUCGCCAAUUAAAAUAGAGAAUGUUAAAAAGUCUGCAUUGUGCAACAAAUAUUUCAAUAUUGAAAUAGUGGCGUGUGAACAGGGUGAGCAAGUUUUUAACAAAGAACUUCAUUUACCUCUGUAAUAAAAGGCUGUGUGAACGGCAGCCCUGUUCAAAAACUUUCAUAUAGUGCAGCCGACUUAACGAUCCAUAAACAUCCAUAAAAUUAGACACCGUGAUUCACUUUACGUAACAUUCGAGACUUACUGUAGGAGAUUCUGUUUACUUGGCUUUUUUUUUUUUAAUCACACAAUUCGUUUGACAUACAGUGCAACAUCAGAUGAUGGACACACGAUAUGGGACGGCUAGGUAUACGGUAUGCAGGUGUAAGUGAGUGGCCAUGAAGUUCGCGGGACUCACAUGUGGAUGCCCUUCCACCCAUUCCUGUACCGCUUAUCCUACACAGGCACACCCACGUCUUUGGACCGGGGAGGAAACCGGAGUACCCGGAGGAAACCCCCAAAGCACAGGGAGAACAUGCAAACUCCACGCACAUAGGGCGGAGCCGGGAUUCAAACCCCCGACCCCGGAGGUGUGAGGCAAACGUGCUAACCACUAACUAACUAAUAACUAACUAAUAACUAACUAACUUCAAAUUAAUGGGUGAACUGAUGGAUGGAUGGAUGGAUGAGUAAAGUUCAGCAUUAUCUGUAAGAGGCUGAACAGUAGUGUGUAGUGCACUCAUUGGGAUGAGUCUGAGCCUGCCACGAUUAAGUUAAUCCCGUUAACUCGUCCUUUUGAAGUUGCUUUACAUCUCAUUCGCUACACUGUAGGUCCCCUAAGGACUCUACACACACACACACACACUUCUUCUCAGAUGAUGAGGUUCUCUCUUGUAUAUGAGGCUUCUAUAGAAUAUGUCUCGACAUGCAUUGUGCCGUCUCGGUGUACACACAUCUGUACUGAGGUGAUCUUGUGCUACAAUAAAUACAUUCAUUCAUAUAUAUAUAUAUACACAGUAUAUUAGCCCUGUGAUGCCUUGGCAUUUCAGCCAGGGUGUAUUCCCAGUCCAGGGGUGUAUUCCAGGUCCAGGGUGUAUUCCUAAUCCAGAGUAUAUUCCCAGUCCAGGGUGUAUUCCCGAGUCACACCCAGUGUUCCCGGGAUAGACUCCAGAUCCAGGAUAAAGCGUUUACUAGAAAUGACUAAACAAAUGAAAAUACACUGCCCAAUAUUUCACUGACAAUCAACGGACAAUUGCUACUAUUUUACUUUUCAGCUCUUACACUAAUGCAACUCUGUGUUCACGCUAACAAGCAACAAAGAGACAGGCGGCCAUUUUCAAUUCCAUUUUCCGAGCGCAACAAAUCGAAAGUGCGACACGUGAGGUGAGAUUU